rnacentral:rRNA from 1 species
GACGAACGCUGGCGGCGUGCCUAAUACAUGCAAGUCGAGCGGAGUUUUUAAAAGCUUGCUUUUAAAAACUCAGCGGCGGACGGGUGAGUAACACGUGGGCAACCUGCCCUGUAGACUGGGAUAACUUCGGGAAACCGAAGCUAAUACCGGAUAAUCAUAGAAGUUGCAUAGCUUCUAUGUAAAAGUUGGGUUUACCUAACACUACAGGAUGGGCCCGCGUCGCAUUAGCUAGUUGGUAAGGUAACGGCUUACCAAGGCGACGAUGCGUAGCCGACCUGAGAGGGUGAUCGGCCACACUGGGACUGAGACACGGCCCAGACUCCUACGGGAGGCAGCAGUAGGGAAUCUUCCGCAAUGGACGAAAGUCUGACGGAGCAACGCCGCGUGAGCGAUGAAGGCCCUUCGGGUCGUAAAGCUCUGUUGUUAGGGA